GGCGGACGGGUCAGUAACACGGGGGUAACCUGCCCAAACCUGUGGGAUAACUCCGGGAAACCGGGGCUAAUACCGGAUAACAUUUUGAACUGCCUGGUUCGAAAGUGAAAGGCUGCUUCGGCUGUCACUUAUGGAUGGACCCGCGUCGCAUUAGCUAGUUGGUGAGGUAACGGCUCACCAAGGCAACGAUGCGUAGCCGACCUGAGAGGGUGAUCGGCCACACUGGGACUGAUACACGGCCCACACUCCUACGGGAGGCAGCAGUAGGGAAUCUUCCGCAAUGGACGAAAGUCUGACGGAUCAACGCCGCGUGAGUGAUGAAGGCUUUCGGGUCUUAAAACUCUGUUGUUAGGGAAGAACAAGUGCUAGUUGAAUAAGCUGGCACCUUGACGGUACCUAACCAGAAAGCCACGGCUAACUACGUGCCAACAGCCGCGGAAAUACGUAAGUGGCAAGCGUUAUCCGGAAUUUAUUGGGCGUAUAGCGCGCGCAGGUGGUUUCUAGGUCUGAUGUGAAAGACCACAGCUCACCCGGGCAAGGUCAUUGGAACUGGGAGACUUGGGUGACAUAAGAGACAGUG
rnacentral:rRNA from 1 species